UAACAUUAACAGAAUAUGUAAUUUCUCUUACUAGCCAAGUGAAUCAUUGAAACAGAGGACAUCAGCAAAUGAGAAACAAAACAUAAAGCAACACAACAGCUGCCUAGAACAACAGUGGGGAAGUGGUUGGCACAGCCAAGUGAAGGCCUUUGAGAGAAGAUGAUCAGGAGAGGACCUGAAAAAAGUGUCUUCUGAAGGGGACAGAACAAACCUUGGCAUCUGUGGGAGGCACAAAGACUGUUUUUAAUUUCAGUUUAAAUCAUUCGUGGUUUUGCUGUCAGCAGCACUACCCCAGGAGUCCUCCUCGCCUUCCUUCAUGUUCUCCCCUGGCAGAGUGAGCUGUCAGCGCAAAGGCCCCGUUCAAAGGUGCCGCAAGGCAGUGGCAGAGGGAUCUCAUUCCUGGAUGGGUCUGUGCUCAGAAAUAAUAAUACUGUAAAGUGCCUAAAUCCCUUAGGAUCCCAACAUAUACAGAACAUACAGCAUUAUCACCUGCAGCCUCGUCAGGGGGACGUGGUGCCAACGAGCUGGCAUGGAGCAUUCGGUGUUACUGUGGGAGGCGAAGAAAGUGCAGCAUGGCUCUUCUCCUGCCAGCAGUCCUGCCACCGCGAAAUGGCCAGGCAGGAGAGACAGUCAGCAGUAACUUGAGCUGUUCCCUCCACAAGACCCCAGCGCUGUCUCCCUCGGGAGAGGAAAAGAGGCAGUUCAGCUAGAAUUUAUACUUCUGGUGCCUACGUGCUGGGAAUAUUCUGGACUGAAGCUGGCAAAUCGAAUGUACAGUGUUCUCAUUUGCACCCUGGCCUGCGAGACCUUUGCUGACGGUUGUGAGGAGAGCGCGCUCCCCCCGCGCCGCGGCUCCCCCCGCCCCCGCUGCUGCAGGCUGCGGAGCAGCGCCGGGCUGUGCGUGCAGCGUGGACCAGCGCAGCCGGCUGCACCGCGCCGUCAGGGAAGCGACUCCCGUUGUGUCUCACCUCACCGUCUCUCUGGGAUUACUAAACCCUUUCUGCUGACGGACCGGUAUAAACGAGCUGUAGCGGAAGAGAAAAUUUAACUCCACAGCAGUAAUAAUUUUAUACAUAUAACUGUGUAUCCUGCUGUAGUAUUUGUAGAGGGUAUUCUAUCUUUAGUUUAUUAAUAAUUUUUAACAGUGUAGACUUUGGUAUCUUUUAUAAGGAUAAGGCUAUAUUUCUUUCUUUACCAUCUUUAACUGCUCACCCUAUCUCUCCAUCCUCUGUCAGCUCACGCAUCUCACAGCUUGCUAGUAUCAGGUUUGGUGAAAUAUUACUGUGUGUUAAUCCCACUGAUUGGAGGUAGGGAUGGUGUAUUUGGGACAAAUAAAUGUCAGAAUCUUGCUUAAGGGGUUUAUAGUCAAAGUCCCACCAUCAGGUAGAUAGAUGCAUAGUUUUAUGCAAGAGAGGAGCUCGGUUGUUUAGUCUUCACCGCAUUUAGGAGAAAUGCCUAAAUUUGAAGCUGGAGGUUGGAACAGAAGGACAAUUCCAAAGGCUAAGGCAGUGUCCUCCAAGUCCUUCCAUUUUUAAUUGCUAAAAGGGCUCAGUGCUUGAUUUUUAAAAGUGAUUUGGCACCUAAACAUGCAAUAGGCACAGAGUGAGAUUUUUGAAAACCACUACACAUCUAAUUUGCAUUGACUAAAGAUCCCAUGAGGCAUCUAAAUACCUCUAGACAACCUCACUGUGUCAAUUCAUAAAGCUCACAUAUCUUCCUCUUUGCCACAUUGUGCACGCUCUUGAUUUUUACCAUGUGAAACCCUAUAAACUCCUAUUCCCUUGAUUAAGAACCCAAUUUUAUAUGUAAACAAUUUUCAGCUAUUACGGGAAACAUUUCUGAAUGGUGCUUUCUUUUUCUUCCACUGUUCCUUCCAGUUCUCUGCAGCUGCCCUGCUGCUUGGCAUGUGGCUCGGAUUCAGAUCAAGGCAGUGUGAUGCAACAAGCUGAAUUUCCUGACUGACCUUCAGCUCCCACGCUCUGUUGCAAUAUGCAGCUUUCUGUUCUGCUAAGUAAAAGUCACAAAUAGGGGCCAAGUGAAAAGUGUUUUGUUUUUUUUUUACUCUUUCACAGAAACAAGAAAAAGGUUGCUUCUUUAUGUGAGAAAUUCUUUUGCUCAUCUCUACUGGAGACUGAAUUGUUUAUUGUAUUGACUACACAUCAUUUUGGGCUGGGUUUUAGCAAAUAUGACAAUUUAUCUGUAUCAAGCAUUUUGUGGGAGGAAGGUUGUUUUGAUACAUUAAAUACCCUUGCAAUUGCCUUUUUUUUCUUUUUUUUCUUUUUUAAGCACUAAAUCUCAGCAUGACUGUAUCCUGCAGUGGAAAAUUACUACCCAUUCAGAAAUGUGCCUUGUUGCAUUACGGUUAUGUAUUUGAAGACUCAAAGCUCUAUCUGCAGCACAAAGGCAGGCUCAACAAAUGAUUUAGCAUCUUUGUUCCUUUAUCACAACACUUUAUGACAGCAUUUUCUACUUGUUAUAAUCAAGGUGUGCUUGUGAAAUGAAUCUUCUUUGCUAUUUAGCUUAUAUAAUAAAUAUGCAUCUUCAUUAAAA